ensembl:snRNA U4 U4 spliceosomal RNA
AGCUUUGCGCAGUGGCAGUAUCGUAGCCAAUGAGGUUUAUCCGAGGCGCGAUUAUUGCUAAUUGAAAACUGGGUUAAAUAAAAAUGCCACUGUCCACUACAGUAACUGAUGCAUACCAUUAAUAUAA